CGGGAUCCUUGGAGGUGUCGUUGCCAUUGGACUCAUCAUCGGCGUGGCUGUAACUGUUUUCAUGGUCCAUCGGCGGCAGCAGAAGACCCGCACUGAGACAGAUAAUGACCUCAUUGCUGUUGCUGCUGUUGCUGAUAGUUGUGUGACACAGGCUCCAGAGAAGCCAGAGUCCCCCACAAGGAAAGUAGAGGCACCUGACCCCAGUCUAUCCCCCGCUGAACCCUGUCCUCCUGGAUCCUCUAUUCUGUUGCCUGCAUGUAAUGGUGGCCUGCAAGUGACAUACUUGAGCACACCAUUGUGAGCGCUGAAAGCAGACAAACGUUCAUCGACACGAUCCUUUACUAGACAUUCACACCGGACUUUACAUCGAAACAACUUUUGAGUUCAAGGAUUUUCUUUUUUCUUUUUAUAACACUCGCUCAAAUUGAGACGUUUGAAGUAAGAUUAAAACAUCUCUAUUUGGUGUGUGACAAAAAAAAAUACAUCUAGCUAGAUAAAUAAUUAUGAAUGAAAAUUAAACUCGAUGAAGAGUGUCAAGAUAAAUCAAACCUAAUUAAAAGUCUUAAGAUAAAAUUUCCAGCUCCACUUAGAGUUUAUCAGAUCGGGGGAGCUUGGACAGAACAGAACACUUUUUGGACGAGAUUGAACAUGCAUAUCAAAUUGUUAAUCAGAGGGAAAUCUGUAAGCUUAUAGAGGCUUUGUUUUACAUAAGCUAAAACUCACUGAUAAUGUCUUUUGUUAACAGACCACAUUGUGCAACCUCCCUCCGCCGCCUCUUGCUCUUUCCUCUCCUUCUGUGUGCAUGAUUGUCGUCAAAUAUGCAUGACAAGAGUUGUAGUCGUGUCAGUGCUGUGUAGCUGUUGUUAUUGUUUCCUACUUGUAGCUCGGCAUGUUAAUGUAAUGAGAUGUGAUUCAAAGCUUUCAUUGUCCAGGUGAAUAAUUUGUGUCCGUUUUCCUGUGGCGUGUCAUCAAACAUGUUCUGUGUCUUAAGAAGAAACUGUUUACUUUUUCUUGAAAUGUCUAAUUAUGUGAAUGCAGAUGAGUUGCAAGUGAAUGUGCAGGAAAAAACCACUGCGAGAGAUUCAUAGUUUUAUAUGAGUAUCUGAUGUCAGGGUAAAGGGGAAGCAUUUAGCCAGACUGUUUAAUUCUGCAUGUUGAUGAGCCGUUAAUCAAGCUUGGGCAUUUGAUAACAUGCCUGACUGCACCGUCAGUCACGCCUCUGUUUUCCCUCACAAAGCAGCACAUGAUGUGACUCAAAAUUGGUCAAUCCUAAUAAAUCACUGGCCCUUCAGAGGCUGCACUGGCACAAUAGUCAACUGAUUAUCAAAAUAGAUGGGCAUUGUCAAAAGCGAUGUUCUCAGAAUAAUGUGUUCAUCGCUCUGUCUUUUGCCCGAGCGUGAUGUAUGACCUCCAAAAUACCGAAAAGCACUGCCAAUCGUGGCGCCACAUCCCUGCAAAAUGAAUUCACCCGCUCGAGCUCCUGACGUGCUGCUGCUGUUGACACAGUUACAAAUACUCGCUGGUAUGAAUCACUUUGAUGACAACUGGCCAUAUUUACUACAAUAUCUGAAAAGGAUCAAAUGCAGAAUGUUAAAAGGAUGAUGAAUUAUGAGCUGGAUGUCAUUGUCACCAAACUACAUCAACUGAGUUUCCUCAACAGAGGGACAAAUUCUUCGCCCUUAGGGGCUGGAAAUGAUUUUCCGGGACUAAAAUGUAGCACCAUUCUGAUUUUGGAAGACACUUGAAAUUAUUGAUCGACUCUACAGUGAAGUUAAACUGAAAUAUAUGUGAUGCUGAAGUUAUAAAAAUAGAUGUCUCCUUUUUAGUAGGACAAUUUGAAAGACGACGCUGGGAGAAGUGGUUCACAGAGAUAUUACUUAUACUUGUGUAGCCUUUGAUUUAUAAACCGGUCACCAGUGCUGUUCAUCUUUGCUGUGUGGAGACCUUUUUAAAAUGUGAUAAAUGGUAACUCAUUGUUGGACACCUUCUAGCUUUAAGCUGUAACCAAAGUAGGCUUGUCUGUCUGAAUUAUUCAACAUCGACUUUCUGUACUGGGUGUGAAUUUGAAUCAUUCCCUGUUGUUGUUUAUGAGUAAAAAAACAUGGUGCUUGGUUUUUUCUGUACAGAAUGUUAUACAUGCAGUACAACUGUCUAUAACAUUCACCUUUACUUUCAUGUUAUUUUGUAUAGCAGUGUAUGUAAUCUAGUAUAAAUGCCUGAGGUGUGGAAAAAGGUUUGGAAACUGGCCAUUUGUGUAUAAUUGUAAAGUUAAAUGUUCUAAAACACAAAACCUUCCAACAACAGAAAUCAUUUAUUGAUAAACUUGUCAAAGAACAAAGAAACAGAAGUCAUUUUGUUUUAUUCUUGUUUUGUUCUUCUCUUGUGAGAGGGUAAUUGUUGUC
ensembl:lncRNA